rnacentral:rRNA from 1 species
GCAAGCCUGAUCCAGCCAUGCCGCGUGCAGGAUGACGGUCCUAUGGAUUGUAAACUGCUUUUGCACAGGAAGAAACAACGCUACGUGUAGCGUCUUGACGGUACUGUGAGAAUAAGGAUCGGCUAACUCCGUGCCAGCAGCCGCGGUAAUACGGAGGAUCCAAGCGUUAUCCGGAAUCAUUGGGUUUAAAGGGUCCGUAGGCGGUCUUAUAAGUCAGUGGUGAAAUCUCCCCGCUCAACGGGGAAACGGCCAUUGAUACUGUAGGACUUGAAUUAUUAGGAAGUAACUAGAAUAUGUAGUGUAGCGGUGAAAUGCUUAGAGAUUACAUGGAAUACCAAUUGCGAAGGCAGGUUACUACUAAUGGAUUGACGCUGAUGGACGAAAGCGUGGGUAGCGAACAGGAUUAGAUACCCUGGUAGUCCACGCCGUAAACGAUGGAUACUAGCUGUUGGGCGCAAGUUCAGUGGCUAAGCGAAAGUGAUAAGUAUCCCACCUGGG